GCAAAUGAGGGAUAUUCGGCUGUGACAACUGUAACCUCGUUACCUGCCAGGCAGAUUCAACUGAUGUGGUUAAGUGGGGCCUCGUUUCUCCCUCACCGCUCCAGGUGCCUUAGUUUCAAAGCUGCAUGUUCAGUUGAUGAAAAAUUUUCCUUAAAGAGAAUGGUUACAGAUGAAGGGCAAAUGUGCAGCUGAACCCUCCCAUUUGAGCCUCCACGCAUGUGCUCACGC
rnacentral:sRNA from 14 species